rnacentral:rRNA from 1 species
GACGAACCGUGCGAAUGUUGUUCGGAAUCACUGGGCUUAAAGGGCGCGUAGGCGGGCUGUCAAGUCUGGGGUGAAAUGCCGCGGCUCAACCGUGGAACUGCCUUAGAUACUGACGGCCUCGAGGAAGGUAGGGGCAUGCGGAACUGUAGGUGGAGCGGUGAAAUGCGUUGAUAUCCGCAGGAACUCCGGUGGCGAAGGCGGCACGCUGGACCCCUUCUGACGCUGAGGCGCGAAAGCCAGGGGAGCGAACGGG